AACUUACGGUAGCAUUCUCCGUUCUAAGGCAAACCCGCAGGGUAAUUUGGAAGCAGAGGCUUGAGGCCACGAGAGCCUGCGUGGAAAUGCCGCAGCUGCGGAGCGGGCGCUACUGGCUCACUGUGCUGGCUCGGGUGCGCCACGCAAUGCUUUAUGCAGGGCUCCGUGGGGCCUCGAGUUUCCUGGGUUGCUCUCGGGAUCCCCCUUCCGUAGCUGGCGAGCUGAGGGGUGAGCUGGACAGAUUCGGGGGCGUCUCGCUGAAACUAGACGCUCUGGACCGCCUGGACACCGUCGCCUUCCAGAGAGCUUUGCAGGCUGCAAUACAGAAAUGGAGAUCGGAAGGUAGGGUAGCGGUAUGGCUGCAUAUUCCCAUCUUCCAAAGCCGAUUUAUUGCCCCUGCCGCUUCCCUGGGCUUCUGCUUUCACCACGCAGAAUCAGAUUCAUCUACCCUGACCCUGUGGCUGGGAAAAGGGCCCAGCAGGUUACCAGGAUAUGCUACACAUCAAGUGGGAGUUGCAGGAGCUGUAUUCGAUGAAAAUACUAAAAAAAUACUGGUUGUACAAGAUCGAAAUAAAUUGAAAAAUAUGUGGAAGUUUCCAGGAGGCCUGUCAGAGCCUGGAGAAGAUAUUGGAGAUACAGCAGUUCGAGAAGUUUUUGAAGAGACUGGUAUAAAGUCAGAAUUCAUGUCCCUCCUGAGUAUUCGGCAACAGCACACCAAUCCUGGAGCUUUUGGGAAGUCAGAUAUGUAUAUUAUAUGCCGCUUAAAGCCACGUUCAUUCACCAUAAAUUUUUGCCAGCAUGAAUGUUUAAGGUGUGAGUGGAUGGAUCUCAGUGACCUGGUCAAGAGUGAAAAUACGACUCCCAUCACUAGCAGGGUUGCUCGGCUGCUGCUCUAUGGGUACAGGGAAGGGUUUGACAAGAUUGAUCUGACCAUGGAAGAACUUCCAGCAGUUUACACAGGCUUGUCCUAUAAACUCUAUCACAAGGAACUGCCAGACAAUUACAAAACUGUGACAGGAAUGGAUUAAAUUCAUACUUACAUGUCUAAAAAAAUAUGCUGCCGUUAAGAUCAGCUCUUAGCAGACAUUGGAAGAAAAAGUAUAGCUUUCUGCCCAGGUCCUGUUUUGGGUCCAAGUUUAUACUGCCCCGUUCGUUUCAGUGCCACAUACCAACUGGAGUAUUUCCUCGACCGAAAGACGCAGGACAGGAACACAGCAGCAGUGGGACAACUUGAAGCACAUCUCUUCAAAGGAACAGCCCGAAAACCACUCUCCAGCUCCACAAUGGACAGAUCAGGCACUGGGAUAUAUCACUGAACAAGGAUCCCUGCCUUUCCGCUCAAAUUCUCACGGGAGAAGAUGCAACAAUAAGCAUGAUUGAGUAAAUUCUAUUAUGCUAAAACAUAGUAAAUCCUAUGGAAAAAAGUAAAGCUGAGGGAUCGGGAAUGGUGGGGGUACAGAUUAGGUUGCAGUAUUAAAUAGUAUAGGCACCACAGGCUUCACUGAGCAAGUAACAAUUUAACCAGACCUCGAAGGAGGUGAAGGAGUUAACCGUCCAGAUUUCAGGGAAGAGCUUCCAGGCAAAGGGAGGGUAAGCCACAACAGGAUCAGGCCAGAGUGUGUGAAGGGCAGCAAGAAGGCUAGUGUGGAUGAAGCAGAGAAUCUGAAGGGGAAAGAGGUAGGAAAUGAGGUCAGAGAAGUAAUGAGAUUAGAGAUUUGUAGGCUAUUGUAAAUAUUUGGCUUCUAUCCUGAGAUAAUGAAAAGCCAUUGUAGGCUUUUGAGCAGAUUAAGUGGCAUGAUCUGAUACACUUUUCCAGGAUUAUUCUGGCUGCCGAGAUUACUCUGGGCCAAAGGCAGAGGCAGACACACCCAUUAAAGGCUUGCUUAGUAACCUAAGCAGAGAAUGGAGACUCAGAGCCAGUGACAGUCACAGAGAUGGUAAGAAGCUGUCUGCUUCUGGAUAUAUUUUGAAGGAUGUGUUGACAAAGUCUGCUGACAGGUCAGAUGUGCAGUGUGAGAAAAAUAAAGGAAUGGAGGAUGACACGAGUUUAUGUUCCAGGUGAUAGACAUACUGAGAUGGAGAAGGCUAUGAAUGCAAACAGGUGUUAUGGGUAAUAGGUUAGAAAUUCAAUUUUGGACAUUUCUGAGUUUGAGAUGAACAAUAUCCUAAUGGAGAUAAUGAGUAUUUACUAAGCAUGUCCUGUGCAACAGACACAUCACUUAAGCUUUCUUCCCUCCCACUAAUGCUAAUAACCAGAGAAUUGGAAUUUGAAAAGUACUAAUUUAUUUGCACUGCUAGAAAAUGUGUUAAGCUGCACUAAUUCCAUUAAGCCAUUAUUCACAAUUCUAAUAGGUAUGGAAUCUAACAAAUAUAGAUUUACAUAUAUGAGAGUAAUAUAAAUAUGUUGUGUACCAGUGGUGGGCCACACCUAAAGAUCUCCUUGAAAGCCAUACAUCUGAACCAGCUUAUUAGUUCAGGGUUCUCUGUAGGGGGCCCAGUAACCAUUUGCUGAAACUGGUAACAAUGAUGCUAAUGAUUUUAAAGAUGGUGCUGGGAGUUUGACCCCUCAGUGGGAUAUCUGAAUAGGAAAGAAUCAAAGUUUGAAAAAGCAUAAUCAACAUUUUCAAUAGUUGAAUUUGUAUUUUUGUCUAGACAAUUACUUUGAAAUUUCAAAAAGAAAGUACACUGAUGUGAUACCUUUAUACAUAAUAAAAAAACUGAUCCUAGGAGAUGGUACGAACCAGUGAGAACACUGUUGCAGUGGGUGGUUAUAGACAAGCCAGCAGGGAAGGCUAAAAUGGCUCAUGUGAUAUUGGUGGAUUAGGGUUGGAUUCAUCGGUGUGUACUCAUUUUUAGCUUAAUUAAUACAGAUGGUUAAGUAUAGAAAUAUUUAUAGAAAUGUGUACAUACCCAGGUUGCUAUAUGUCUAUAUUCCUUGCCCUCUCAGGUAAGAGGGCCUAGAAGCAAACACACCUCAGUAGCAGUACGUACACGCAGAUCUUGUUUUCUAACACCGUUUUCCAAUAGAAGGAACCAAGGCUCCUUAGAGAAAUGGCUCAUUUUAGGCUGGCAUAAGGAAUAUACAGGGUAAACCUGGCGCAUUCUUAGAGGCUAUAAAGUAAGGAAGUACUCAAAACACCCCGUACUGACUGGUUUAUGUCAAAGAGUACAGGAGACAACUGAAAAAGCUCCCAGUGGCCAAAGCUGAAACAAUCUGAAUAACAAACACCGCAGUUUUGGAUUACAACCCCAAGUAUAAAAUAAAUAUCCAUGUGUAUAUACUGAUAUACAUGAUUAAAUAAAUAAAUGGAGGAUAGACAUUUUCAUACAAAAGAAUUCCGCAUAUUUAUGUGCAUACUUCCUCCUCAAGGAGAUGGAACAAAGAAUAGAGUAUGGGAAGGGGAGAUAGGAGUAACUUGACAGUGGAGACAACACUACCUCAGCCAGGUGAUGAGGGUUAAUAAGGGUGAAAAGCAUGUUCCCUUAAUGAUGGGAUGAAAGCAGUACUUUAUUCUCCCAAGGUUAUCUACUUCCCAAACACUCAUUACUUGUGUAAUGAGUGAAAAACAUCAGGCAAACCCAGAUUGAAGAACAUUCUGAGAAAUACCUGACCAGUAUUCUGUCAAAGUAAUCCAAGAAAGGAAAAUCUAAGGAAAUGUCACAGUCUGAAGGAGACUACAGAGACACGAUGACUAAAUGUGGUAUCCUGAAUGAGAUCCUAGAACAAAAAAGGACAUGAGGUAAAAACUAAGGAAAUAGGAAUAAAGUUGGGCUUUAGCUAAUAUUGAUGCUUCAGUAUUGGCUUGUUGGUCAUGACAACUGUACCAUACUAAUGUAACAUGCUAAUGGGAGAAGCUGGGUGUGGAGUAUAUAGAAACUCUGUACCAUCUUCACAACCUUCCUGUAAACCUAAAACUAUUCUGAAAUCAAAAUUUAAAAAAAAAAAAAAAAGACCUCUGGCUACAGAUUUGACCACAAAAACAUUUAUUUUUGUGCUCUAUGACAUCCAAAUACAGAUCAUUUAUUUAUAUAUACAUAUCCACUUUAUUUCACUAGACUAUAAAUGUCAUGUGGGUGGAGAUUUUCUUCUGUUGUUGCAUCAAUGCCUGGCACAUAGUAUGUGAUGAGUAAAAUAUACUAAAUUAUAUGAAUAAAUGAAACUGUUUUAGAUAGGCUACAGUAAAAAUACCAUUCAUUGGCAUUGCAAAAUCUAAAUAAGAACUGGAGAACUAAGACCAAGGAAAACCCAGACUAACUUUUGAAAUACAGAAUAACUUUAUGGACUCUUUAGUCCCUGAGGAAACUAAGCCAGCUGGACCACUCCAAGAAUCUGACUGUCCUAACAACAUCUGUGAGGAUCUUUGAUGAGCCAGGAAACUGGGUUCCACUCUUGUCUUGAUCCUUAACUAACUUGUUAUCUUUGAGCAAGUAUCUUAACCUCUGAGCCUUAUUUUUCUCACCUGUAAAAUAAGAUUGGAUUAGAUCUUUAAGAUUCCUCACAAUCUUAACAGUUUUUAAGGUUUGAAAGCCUAUAAAAUAAUCUUUUUAAGCCCUAGCAUAUUAUACGGAAAAAAGAACUUGAAUAAAUUCUCCCUGCCCCCAA